GGGGCUAUAGCUCAGUUGGCUAGAGCGCCUGUUUUGCACGCAGGAGGUCAACGGUUCGACUCCGUUUAGCUCCACCA
rnacentral:tRNA from 1 species